GCCCCUGUGGCGGAAUUGGUAGACGCGACAGACUCAAAAUCUGUUGUCCGUGAGGGCGUGCUGGUUCGAGUCCGGCCAGGGGCACCA
rnacentral:tRNA from 1 species